GUCCUCACUUCAGCAGCACAUAAACUAAAAUUGGAAUGAUACAGAGAAGAUUAGCAUGCCUCCUGCACAAGGAUGACACACAAAUUCGUGAAAAGUUCCAUAUUAAA
rnacentral:snRNA from 1 species